AUUGAACGCUGGCGGCAGGCCUAACACAUGCAAGUCGAGCGGCAGCGGGACCUUCGGGUUGCCGGCGAGCGGCGGACGGGUGAGUAAUGCCUAGGAAUCUGCCUGUUAGUGGGGGAUAACGCGGGGAAACUCGCGCUAAUACCGCAUACGUCCUACGGGAGAAAGCGGGGGCUCUUCGGACCUCUCGCUAACAGAUGAGCCUAGGUCGGAUUAGCUAGUUGGUGGGGUAAUGGCCCACCAAGGCGACGAUCCGUAACUGGUCUGAGAGGAUGAUCAGUCACACGGGAACUCAGACACGGUCCAGGCUCCUACGGGAGGCAGCAGUGGGGAAUAUUGGACAAUGGGCGAAAGCCUGAUCCAGCCAUGCCGCGUGUGUGAAGAAGGUCUUCGGAUUGUAAAGCACUUUAAGUUGGGAGGAAGGGCGCUCGGUGAAUACCCAGGCGUCUUGACGUUACCGACAGAAUAAGCACCGGCUAACUUCGUGCCAGCCGCCGCAGUAAUAC
rnacentral:rRNA from 1 species